rnacentral:rRNA from 1 species
GAUGAACGCUGGCGGCGUGCCUAAUACAUGCAAGUCGAGCGAACAGACGAGGAGCUUGCUCCUCUGACGUUAGCGGCGGACGGGUGAGUAACACGUGGAUAACCUACCUAUAAGACUGGGAUAACUUCGGGAAACCGGAGCUAAUACCGGAUAAUAUAUUGAACCGCAUGGUUCAAUAGUGAAAGACGGUUUUGCUGUCACUUAUAGAUGGAUCCGCGCCGCAUUAGCUAGUUGGUAAGGUAACGGCUUACCAAGGCAACGAUGCGUAGCCGACCUGAGAGGGUGAUCCGCCACACUGGAACUGAGACACGGUCCAGACUCCUACGGGAGGCAGCAGUAGGGAAUCUUCCGCAAUGGGCGAAAGCCUGACGGAGCAACGCCGCGUGAAUGAUGAAGGUCUUCGGAUCGUAAAACUCUGUUAUUAGGGAAGAACAAAUGUGUAAGUAACUAUGCACGUCUUGACGGUACCUAAUCAGAAAGCCACGGCUAACUACGUG